GCUUCCGCUCCCGCCCCCGCCGUCUGAGGUUGGUGAUUCGUCGACAGCGCCAUCCUGGGCCCGCCCCUUCCGGCUCACUUCGCACUCUCUGAUUGGUCACGUCGCGGGGGCUGUAAGGAUGCGUAUCAGGAUUAGAAAGUUGGAAGAACAGGUGGGUGAAAGUUGUUGGGUUCGUUACCUGAUGGCCCGAUGGCCCGUGAGAAGGAUUCUGGAAGCUGAAAGAGUUGUUUGAGAACACUUGAGGAGCACAUACUACAUUCUUCUGCUGACUGUAUUCCAGCCUUAAGAAAGCCCGGGCUAGCUAGCAAAGAGGAAAGGCCAUGUGAGGAUGCAGCAGAAAGCCGCUGUCUGCAACCCAAGGAAAGACAGCUCUCACCAGACACUGACCCUGCUAGCACCUUGAUCUUGGCUUUCGUUCUCCAGAACUGGGCAGAGUUGAUCCCUAAACCAGAAUUCCACCUCCAAGUAAUGUUUACUGUCAUACAUGACAGCUACAAGACCAAAGGAAUUCUUGGACACCUGGUGAGGAGGUUUGUGAAUUGAACUGAGCAUGCAGGAGCAUCUCAAGCUUGGACAUUAGAAGUGGACACUUGCACCAUAUAUACAGAGUUCAUGAUGACCUAAACUGUCAUUUGGCAGCCACUCAGGAGGGGCAUGUUCUCCUAAGGGCAAUUGCAGUUAAAUUCUGAUAUGAGGGAUGUUUGGAUACACAGAAAAACUUAACAGCCAUGCUCCGAAGAGCCUGAAAUAGAGUUCCUAGGGUGAUGUACAUGAGCAUCCAACAGAAAAGUCAUGCUCCUUCACAGCAAAUGGGACUGAAGUUGAGGCUAGGAGGCUCCAGUGUCCAAGGGCAGGCUGCUGAAAGUUGCAGGUCAAAUAGUUAGUAGCAAAAACACUGAAACUGGGAAUGGGUGAACAGAGCUGCUAUAAGGGAUCCAAGAGGAUCUGGUCAGGUCUCCAACAGUGUCUGCUACAUAUGCCUAAAGGAAUUCGCUCCUCCAGCGUGAUGGUGCCAGUGCAAAGCGAAGCAAUUGUAAGGCACCCGGAGCCCUGAAAUCUUUAAUAUUGGAUCCACCCGGGACUAGUGGGGCCAUUCUGGAGACCAUCUGGCAGUAUGUAGGGAUAUUAACUCUGCAAAAACUCUGUGAUCCAGCAGCAAUCCUACUCCUCUUUAAUUGUCCCAGAGAAAUCCACAAGUCUCCAUGGAGGUUUGUAUGAAGAUGUACAACGUAGCCUUGUUUGUGGUAGCAAAGGACUAGAUCAAUUAAAUGUAAGAUAUAUAUAUAUAUAUAUAAAAUGUCCCACAUGUACAGGUUUUCCCCCUUGCAUGCAUGGAUCAUUCAUUAAUUAUUGUCUUGUUCUGCAAGGGCUUUAAAUAUAUUCUAGAUCUGUCUUAUAUAUUAUUUUUAUAAUUUGAAGAGCAAAAAUUAUUGUUGUUAUUAUUAUUAUUUUUUUUUUUGGUGAGGAAGAUUGGCCCUGAGCUGCCAUCUCUUGCCAGUCUUCCUCUUUUUGCUGAAGAAGAUUAGCCCUGAGCUAACAUCUGUGCCCAUCUUCUUCCAUUUUGUAUAUGGGAUGCUGCCACAUCAUGGCUUGAUCAGCGGUGCGUAUGUCUGCACCCAGGAUCCGAACCUGCAAAUCCCGGGCUGCCAAAGCGGAGUGCACGAACUUAACCACUACCCCAGCGGGCCAGCCUGCAAAAAUUAUUUUUAAAGAAAAUAAUAAAAUUGAGAAAUUGAGCUAAAAAUGUGAAAAAAGCAGCAGAAUAAUGAGUAGCAGAUUAUGUGGACAAUAUCCUCCAAGAUGAAGAAAGGAAGUGGUACAGCCAUUCUGCCCCUUUCUAAGGCCACGUGGGUUUUCCUUUGGGAAGUCACCCCCUCCCUCCCCGCAGCCCCUCACUCCAGCUCCAGGAGUUGGCUCUGCUUGGCCUAAGCUGGUCAGCAGAAUUCCAUCCCUCUUAAUAGGGUCUAGAUUGAGAGCAGGGGACAGUGAUCUAGGCCUAACCCCAUUAGGUUUCAAAAAAUGAAGAAAAGAUUGGACCUACAAGAUUGUUUUUUCAUUAGGCACAAAUGUAUGCCUAAAAAGCCUAAAAGGGCACAUAUGUUCCCCUUACCUACCACAUUUAGUAGAUUUUCUCAUGUCAGAAUAUUUUUAAAAAUACAAAAAUUUAACUGCACUUAAUCCCAAUUGUCACACUUUGAGAGAAAUAAGAGAACUAUAGUUCAUGGAAAAAUGGCUUUAUUCUGUAAAAACUUGCAUAAAUGGAGUGAGUCAGAGGUGUGCCCUGUAGUGCCUAGGGCCUGUGAUUUGGCUGGUCUUGUGAUAUUAUGUAGUCUGGGCAGGGUUCUUUACUCUCUCCCAUCUGGAACAAAUCUGUCGCCUGACACCAAAUAACAAUUUUAUCUACGGUCAUAGAAUCAAAUUCAAUUAAAGAUGAUCAGUUCUACAUAGAUAAAUUAGGUAAGGGGACUGUGGUUUAGGACCAAAAGGGAAAAAUUUGUGGAAUUCUCUAUAUUCCCUUAGGAAGAUUCCAUGACUCUUCUGAUUAUAUCUAGGUUUGGCAUUGCUGUUCCUAAUUUAUUACCUCCCAGGAAGAAACAUAGAAUCUACUGAAUAAUAUUGAUGCUAAAACCUUGGGAAACCAUAAGAUAUUAGGACUUCUGGCUUCAUCAGAUCAAAAGUAAACUCUGCUGGGCUGGCCCCGUGGUGUAGCGGUUAAGUGUGUGAGCUACGCUACUGUUGGCUGGGGUUCGGAUCCAGGCGCGCACAGACGCACCGCUUGUCAGGCCACACUGUGGCAGCGUCCCACAUAAAAUGGAGGAAGAUCUGUAGGGAUGUUAGCUCAGGGACAGUCU